rnacentral:rRNA from 1 species
UACGUAAGGGGCGAGCGUUGUUCGGAUUGACUGGGUGUAAAGGGUCUGCAGGCGGUUUCGUAAGUCAGGAGUGAAAUCCCAUGGCUCAACCAUGGAAAUGCUUUUGAUACUGCGAAACUCGAGUUCGAGAGAGGUAAGCGGAAUUACCGGUGUAGCGGUGAAAUGCGUAGAUAUCGGUAGGAACACCAGUGGCGAAGGCGGCUUACUGGCUCGAAACUGACGCUCAGAGACGAAGGCGUGGGGAGCAAACAGG